CCUACGGGAGGCAGCAGUGGGGAAUAUUGCACAAUGGGGGAAACCCUGAUCCAGCAACGCCGCGUGAGUGAAGAAGGAUUUCGGUAUGUAAAGCUUUAUCAGCAGGGAAGUAAAUGACGGUAUCUGAGUAAUAAGCCCCGGCUAACUACGUGCCAGCAGCCGCGGUACUACGUAGGGGGCAAGCGUUAUCCGGAUUUACUGGGUGUAAAGGGAGCUCAGACGGUGAGACAAGUCUGUAGUGAAAUCCUGCGGCUCAACCGUGAAAUUGCUUUUGAAACUGCCUGACUGGAGUGCUGGAGAGGUAAGCGGAAUUCGUAGUGUAGCGGUGAAAUGCUUAGAUAUUAGGAAGAACUCCAGUGGCGAAGGCAGCUUGCUGGACAGCAACUGACGUUGAGGCUCGAAAGUGUGGGUAGCAAACAGGAUUAGAUACCCCUGUAGUC
rnacentral:rRNA from 1 species